rnacentral:lncRNA from 13 species
GAAGCAUUCCCUGUGAACCUAUGCAAACUCAUCUCCACAUUAGUCUGGCUGGCUUCCUUGUGAGAUACAGGUUCCUCCUGAAGAGCUGGAGCUCCAGUCUGGCUCUAGACUUCUCCUUGCUUCCAGACUCAAGAUGAGAAGCAUUUUUCCAGUGCAUAAGUGUUAGAGGAUACUGCCGAUGGUGUGUGUUUUGUCCAGGCUGGACUCAGCUUCUUCAUCUUGGAAAAGUUUUGAAAGAAAAGUCAUGCUUCAAUUAAUAACAGACAACGGAGUCAAUAUGACGGGAGCAGAGACAAUGAUGUGAUCAAAUGCCAAGAGAUGACUGACAGCAGAAAAAAUAUCAUGGCACAGACUUCAAGAUGUCAUCUUGGAAGCAGAGACUGGACCUUCACCAGACUCAAAACCUACCAGUACCUUGAUCCUAAACGUCUUUCCCGGCUCCAGAACUGUGAGAAAACACUUCCAAGAUAUGACGAGAGCGACUUUCCAUUUAUCUUCUAUGGAAAUUCAUUCUGCAGGAGUGGCACUGUCAGCUUAAGAGACACAAGCUAUUGUCUUGCAGCUAAAAAAAAAAGAAAGAAGAAAGAAAGGGAAGAAUAAUAAGGAGACUUUUGUCUGAGUUCCCAAGGUGGAGGUAAAAGGCUGGAAGAGAAGAUAAAUAUGAGCUCUCAUCAGAGAAGAAGAAUUGCUCUCAACCCAGGUAAGGAGAAUUGGUCUGAAGGAAGGAAGGGUUUAGUAAAAUUUUCUGAGGCUUCUAAGUCUUCCAUGAGUUUUCUUUCCUUUUUUUUUUUUUUAAACAUCGACCGAAAAGCUUUGUUGUCUAGGAAAGGGUAAAAGGAUGUCUGGCUGAAUUGGAAUUGACAAAACUAGGCAACUCAGACAGGGCAGUCUCGGGAGCAGCCUUUAACCACAAAAGAGAUAUUGAAGGCGAUGCAAUCGAUAGAACUGGAGCGGACAGGGGAGGAAGAUGAUGAAACCCAUCAAAUUUGAUCACUGGGCAGAAGUGGUCAGUGUCAGCUUCCUCAGGAAGGGUCACUCGAUGCCAGAUGCCUUUCAGGGACUUUAACCUUCCCUGCUGAUUACCUUCUUAAGAUCACAAAAUUUUAGUGUCAGGAGAGAAUAAUGCAUGCCGCACUGGGAUCCCUUUCACUGUGACCUAGAUGAGUGAGUUUCCUGCACUCAUGGGUUACAGAGAUAGCAACUCACCUGCCUAAUGUAUUUGAUUACUAUGACCUUUCUCUCUGAAGACAUAUUCAUUUAUUCAUCAAUUUGUUCACUUGUAAGUUACUCCCAUCCAUAGUAAGUUAAGGGAAAUCUGGCUACAGAUUCUUCAUGGCUUCUCCCAUCAAGAAGUGGAGUCUGUUUCACCCUGAUUCAGCUCCUGGCCUGGCCUAACAGAACAGGGAGGAUGAGAAACAUGUGGAGAGGCAUGUGGCGAGAGUCCCUGACUGUCACAGUCAUCUCAGCAGUGUUUGAACCCAGACGUGUUCGAGCACAGCUGACAUCAUGUGAUGAGGAAGAAAUGAGCUCAGCUGAGUCCAGCCCAAAAUGCUGACCCACAGAGUCUUUAACGAACAAAAGGACUCAUAAUAAACAUUUUAAGACAAUAAGUUUUGGGUAGAAU